GAACCUCUUUCGGGAGGGGAUUAGUGGCGAACGGGUGAGUAACACGUGGGCAAUCUGCCCUGCACUCUGGGAUAACUCCGGGAAACCGGAGCUAAUACCGGAUACGACCAUCGCGGGCAUCUGUGGUGGUGGAAAGCUCCGGCGGUGCAGGAUGAGCCCGCGGCCUAUCAGCUUGUUGGUGGGGUAGUGGCCUACCAAGGCGACGACGGGUAGCCGGCCUGAGAGGGCGACCGGCCACACUGGGACUGAGACACGGCCCAGACUCCUACGGGAGGCAGCAGUGGGGAAUAUUGCACAAUGGGCGCAAGCCUGAUGCAGCGACGCCGCGUGAGGGAUGACGGCCUUCGGGUUGUAAACCUCUUUCAGCAGGGAAGAAGCGGAAGUGACGGUACCUGCAGAAGAAGCACCGGCUAACUACGUGCCAGCAGCCGCGGUAAUACGUAGGGUGCGAGCGUUGUCCGGAAUUAUUGGGCGUAAAGAGCUCGUAGGCGGCUUGUCGCGUCGGAUGUGAAAGCCCGGGGCUUAACCCCGGGUCUGCAUUCGAUACGGGCAGGCUAGAGUUCGGUAGGGGAGAUCGGAAUUCCUGGUGUAGCGGUGAAAUGCGCAGAUAUCAGGAGGAACACCGGUGGCGAAGGCGGAUCUCUGGGCCGAUACUGACGCUGAGGAGCGAAAGCGUGGGGAGCGAACAGGAUUAGAUACCCUGGUAGUCCACGCCGUAAACGUUGGGCACUAGGUGUGGGCGGCAUUCCACGUCGUCCGUGCCGCAGCUAACGCAUUAAGUGCCCCGCCUGGGGAGUACG
rnacentral:rRNA from 1 species